rnacentral:rRNA from 1 species
UACACAUGCAAGUCGAACGAUGAACCACUUCGGUGGGGAUUAGUGGCGAACGGGUGAGUAACACGUGGGCAAUCUGCCCUGCACUCUGGGACAAGCCCUGGAAACGGGGUCUAAUACCGGAUACUGAUCUACUUGGGCAUCCAAGUGGUUCGAAAGCUCCGGCGGUGCAGGAUGAGCCCGCGGCCUAUCAGCUUGUUGGUGAGGUAACGGCUCACCAAGGCGACGACGGGUAGCCGGCCUGAGAGGGCGACCGGCCACACUGGGACUGAGACACGGCCCAGACUCCUACGGGAGGCAGCAGUGGGGAAUAUUGCACAAUGGGCGAAAGCCUGAUGCAGCGACGCCGCGUGAGGGAUGACGGCCUUCGGGUUGUAAACCUCUUUCAGCAGGGAAGAAGCGAAAGUGACGGUACCUGCAGAAGAAGCGCCGGCUAACUACGUGCCAGCAGCCGCGGUAAUACGUAGGGCGCAAGCGUUGUCCGGAAUUAUUGGGCGUAAAGAGCUCGUAGGCGGCUUGUCGCGUCGGUUGUGAAAGCCCGGGGCUUAACCCCGGGUCUGCAGUCGAUACGGGCAGGCUAGAGUUCGGUAGGGGAGAUCGGAAUUCCUGGUGUAGCGGUGAAAUGCGCAGAUAUCAGGAGGAACACCGGUGGCGAAGGCGGAUCUCUGGGCCGAUACUGACGCUGAGGAGCGAAAGCGUGGGGAGCGAACAGGAUUAGAUACCCUGGUAGUCCACGCCGUAAACGGUGGGCACUAGGUGUGGGCAACAUUCCACGUUGUCCGUGCCGCAGCUAACGCAUUAAGUGCCCCGCCUGGGGAGUACGGCCGCAAGGCUAAAACUCAAAGGAAUUGACGGGGCCCGCACAAGCGGCGGAGCAUGUGGCUUAAUUCGACGCAACGCGAGAAUCU